UUUUCGCAAUGCCCGAAAGGGUGACGAAGCGACGCCGCGUGGGUGAGGAAGGCCUUCGGGUUGUAAAACCCUGUCAGGAGUUAAGAAAUGUAAGUGCGCUAAUACCGCAUUUAUUUGACGAAGGCUCCAAAGGAAGCCACGGCUAACUCUGUGCCAGCAGCCGCGGUAAUACAGGGGUGGCAAGCGUUGUUCGGAAUUAUUGGGCGUAAAGAGCACGUAGGUGGGUUUGUAAGUCAGAUGUGAAAGCCUUCUGUUCAACGGAAGAAUUGCAUCUGAAACUGCGAAUCUUGAGUGUAGGAGGGGAGAAUGGAACUUCUGGUGGAGCGGUGAAAUGCGUAGAUAUCAGAAGGAACGCCGGCGGCGAAAGCGAUUCUCUGGCCUAUUACUGACACUCAGUGUGCGAAAGCUAGGGGAGCAAACGGGAUUAGAUACCCCGGUAGUCCUAGCCGUAAACGAUGGGCACUAAGUAGAGGGGUU
rnacentral:rRNA from 1 species